GAUGAACGCUGGCGGCGUGCCUAAUACAUGCAAGUCGAGCGAACAGACGAGGAGCUUGCUCCUCUGACGUUAGCGGCGGACGGGUGAGUAACACGUGGAUAACCUACCUAUAAGACUGGGAUAACUUCGGGAAACCGGAGCUAAUACCGGAUAAUAUAUUGAACCGCAUGGUUCAAUAGUGAAAGACGGUUUUGCUGUCACUUAUAGAUGGAUCCGCGCCGCAUUAGCUAGUUGGUAAGGUAACGGCUUACCAAGGCAACGAUGCGUAGCCGACCUGAGAGGGUGAUCGGCACACUGGAACUGAGACACGGUCCAGACUCCUACGGGAGGCAGCAGUAGGGAAUCUUCCGCAAUGGGCGAAAGCUUGACGGAGCAACGCCGCGUGAGUGAUGAAGGUCUUCGGAUCGUAAAACUCUGUUAUUAGGGAAGAACAAAUGUGUAAGUAACUAUGCACGUCUUGACGGUACCUAAUCAGAGAGCCACGGCUAACUACGUG
rnacentral:rRNA from 1 species